AUUGAACGCUGGCGGCAUGCCUUACACAUGCAAGUCGAACGGCAGCACGGGAGCAAUCCUGGUGGCGAGUGGCGAACGGGUGAGUAAUACAUCGGAACGUGCCUAGUAGUGGGGGAUAACUACUCGAAAGAGUGGCUAAUACCGCAUGAGAUCUACGGAUGAAAGCAGGGGAUCGCAAGACCUUGUGCUACUAGAGCGGCCGAUGGCAGAUUAGGUAGUUGGUGGGAUAAAAGCUUACCAAGCCGACGAUCUGUAGCUGGUCUGAGAGGACGAUCAGCCACACUGGGACUGAGACACGGCCCAGACUCCUACGGGAGGCAGCAGUGGGGAAUUUUGGACAAUGGGCGCAAGCCUGAUCCAGCAAUGCCGCGUGCAGGAUGAAGGCCUUCGGGUUGUAAACUGCUUUUGUACGGAACGAAAAGCCCUGGGUUAAUACCCUGGGGUCAUGACGGUACCGUAAGAAUAAGCACCGGCUAACUACGUGCCAGCCGCCGCAGUAAUAC
rnacentral:rRNA from 1 species